GUGCUCGUUUUGGCAGCACAUACCCUAAAAUUGGAACGAUACAGAGAAGAUUCACAUGGCCUCUGGGCAAGGAUGACACACAAAUAAAUGACCAUUCUCUCUUUUUU
rnacentral:snRNA from 1 species